rnacentral:rRNA from 1 species
UUACGGUCAAAUCACGCUGAAAACACCGGUUCUCGUUCGAUCACCGAAGUUAAGCAUCGUAGAGCCAGGUCAGUAUUUAGAUGGGGGACCGCUUGGGAACAUCUGGUACUGUAAGC